CAGCCGCCGCGGUAAUUCGUAGGGUGCGAGCGUUAAUCGGAAUUACUGGGCGUAAAGCGUGCGCAGGCGGUUUUGGAAGACAGAGGUGAAAUCCCCGGGCUCAACCUGGGAACUGCCUUUGUGACUGCAAGGCUGGAGUGCGGCAGAGGGGGAUGGAAUUCCGCGUGUAGCAGGGAAAUGCGUAGAUAUGCGGAGGAACACCGAUGGCGAAGGCAAUCCCCUGGGCCUGCACUGACGCUCAUGCACGAAAUCGUGGGGAGCAAACAGGAUUAGAUACCCUGGUAGUCCACGCCCUAAACGAUGUCAACUGGUUGUUGGACGGCUUGCUGUUCAGUAACGAAGCUAACGCGUGAAGUUGACCGCCUGGGGAGUACGGCCGCAAGGUUGAAACUUAAAGGAAUUGGCGGG
rnacentral:rRNA from 1 species